CCUGGCUCAGAAUGAACGCUGGCGGCAGGCUUAACACAUGCAAGUCGAACGCCCCGCAAGGGGUGUGGCAGACGGGCGAGUAACGCGUGGGAACAUACUCUUUCCCGCGGAAUAGCUCCGGGAAACUGGAAUUAAUACCGCAUACGCCCUCCGGGGGAAAGGUUUAUCGGGGAAAGAUUGGCCCGCGUUGGAUUAGCUAGUUGGUGGGGUAAAGGCCUACCAAGGCGACGAUCCAUAGCUGGUCUGAGAGGAUGAUCAGCCACAUUGGGACUGAGACACGGCCCAAACUCCUACGG
rnacentral:rRNA from 1 species